GACCGCGUAGCCCAGUUGGCAGAGCAUUGGGCUAGUAUUCCAAAGGUCGUAGGUUCAAUUCCCACCGUGGCCA
rnacentral:tRNA from 1 species